rnacentral:rRNA from 1 species
UACGAAGGGGGCUAGCGUUGCUCGGAAUUACUGGGCGUAAAGGGCGCGUAGGCGGCACUGUUAGUCAGGCGUGAAAUUCCUGGGCUCAACCUGGGGACUGCGCUUGAUACGGCAGAGCUUGAGGAUGGAAGAGGGUCGCGGAAUUCCCAGUGUAGAGGUGAAAUUCGUAGAUAUUGGGAAGAACACCGGUGGCGAAGGGCGGCGACCUGGUCCAUUACUGACGCUGAGGCGCGACAGCGUGGGGAGCAAACAGG